GCACAUGUAGAGGGUCAACUAAAGAGUGAGAUAAUGUCUAAGCCUGAACUAUUUGUGACACCUGAUCCAGAAUUACCCCUAGCACUUUUGGAUCAAAAGGAGGCUGGUAAAAAGCUUCUGCUCAUUACCAACUCAGAUUAUCAUUACACAGACAAAAUGAUGCAGCAUUCCUUCAACAGAUUUCUUCCCAAUGAUAUG